rnacentral:rRNA from 2 species
GGAGUCUAGCAUGUGCGCGAGUCAUUGGGAGGCACUAGCUAAACCUAAAGGCGAAAUGAAAGUGAAGGCGCGCCUCGCGCGCGCCGAGGGAGGAUGGGCGACGAUCCGAGGCAACGACGGUCGAAGCCCCGCACUCCCGGGGCGUCUCGUUCUCAUCGCGAGAAGAGGCGCACCCAGAGCGUACACGCUGGGACCCGAAAGAUGGUGAACUAUGCCUGGUGAGGACGAAGUCAGGGGAAACCCUGAUGGAGGUCCGUAGCGAUUCUGACGUGCAAAUCGAUCGUCGGAACUGGGUAUAGGGGCGAAAGACUAAUCGAACCAUCUAGUAGCUGGUUCCCUCCGAAGUUUCCCUCAGGAUAGCUGGCGCUCGCUAAACGCGAGUCUCAUCCGGUAAAGCGAAUGAUUAGAGGCAUUGGGGUCGAAACGGCCUCAACCUAUUCUCAAACUUUAAAUGGGUGAGAUCUCCGGCUUGCUUGAAACGUUAGUUCUUGAAGCCGCGAGAUCGGAUCAGAGUGCCAAGUGGGCCACUUUUGGUAAGCAGAACUGGCGCUGUGGGAUGAACCAAACGCGGAGUUAAAGCGCCUAAAUCGACGCUUAUGGGAUACCAUGAAAGGCGUUGGUAACUUAAGACAGCAGGACGGUGGCCAUGGAAGUC